CUUUUCUUCUGACGAUGCUGUCUGUGUUGAGAGCUCAGUGGAUCUGCGUUCGACUACUCCGCCUAGGCUGCACUGUCGAGCGCAGAUCCACUGAGCGCAAGCUCAUUGCAACAUGGCAAUUUGAACCUCCCCCGCCCGCAUUCAGAUCUGGCCUUUGGAACUAUUUUGGUCUUCAUGUGAAGUAUGACCCUGAAGAAGUCCUCUGACCGGCUGAUAGUCUGGCUCUUCCUCAGGGCUAAACACAGGAACCUCCAGUAUGAAGUUCACCACAGCUGCCCUCUCAGACUGAAUGUUCCCCAGCAGAACCACCCUGAUCUCAGACACUGCAAAGAAAACCGUAAAGAAAGCAAUGAAGACAACCGAGUGUAGAAGAUUCAGAUCAUCGCUGCUAUUCAGCAGCUGCAGAUCAUCUGUGAAAACCCAAAGAUCAUCUCAGAGCGUCAUCAUCAACAUGUUUGUCCUGGAAGUGCUCACAUUCACCGGUUAAACAGACACAAACAUACUAUACUGUAAAUAAAACUUACUUUGAUUUGACCUGAAACUAAAGUGAUUUUUUCACUAUGCAAAACUUUAGAGCUGAGUUCAUGUGAGUACAGUGUUUGGAUUUCUGUUUGUAGUUCAGCAGAUUCAGUGUGCAGCUAUAAAUAAACUGCAACAAUGAAAGAAAAAGAAAAACUUUCAGUUUU